rnacentral:rRNA from 1 species
CCUGGCGACCCUGGCCGGUGGGAACCACCCGAUCCCAUCCCGAACUCGACCGUGAAACCACCGCGCGCCCAUGAUCGUGUGAGACCUACUCACGCUACAGUCGGUCAUCGCCAGGC